CAGCAACAGCAGCAGCAACAGCAGCAGCAGCCGCAGUUGCAGUUGCAGCCACAGUCGACUUUCAUUGAGCGUUUAUCGUAUCCACAGCAUCCACAGUCUACUCAGAAAACGUGCUUGGUAAUUACAGCAGCUGUUCGUCUGCUCUUUUAGCUCCGAUAACUUGGCCAACCGACUCUGGCCCCGGCUUGGAGCCAGACCGUCUCCAUUGCUUAGUGAAUUUAUGCCGCUGCCUUCGAUUAUCAAUCAGUGCGUGCCAAAACUGUUUUGUCAGUUUGCGCUAAGUAGAAGCUGCAUUAACUCUCCAACGAUAGACGCUAGACGGUAGACGAUAGAGGACCAGCCGCCAGCUGGCAAAGAGACCGGCUUGGAUGCGUUGCCAACUGGCAGCGUCUGCGCAUAGAAUAAAUUGUUUUUGUUGCUUUGCUUUUGAGCGUUGGACAUGUUGACAACGUCCAGCGCCACCUAUUGGUGUGGAUGCAACGAGUUAGGGCUGCAUAAGCAGCUUUAUGUGACUUGAAUGAAGUGAUUAACGCAUGGAUUAUUUAAUGUGAAGUAUGAAGUAUUUAUGUGCAAGUAUGAGGCAAAAGAGGGAAAGAAGCCAUCUACAAGAUUUAAGUAGCCACUGAUCUAAAUAA